UACGAAGGGGGCUAGCGUUGCUCGGAAUUACUGGGCGUAAAGGGCGCGUAGGCGGCACUGUUAGUCAGGCGUGAAAGUCCUGGGCUCAACCUGGGAACUGCGCUUGAUACGGCAGAGCUAGAGGAUGGAAGAGGGUCGCGGAAUUCCGAGUGUAGAGGUGAAAUUCGUAGAUAUUGGGAGGAACACCGGUGGCGAAGGCGGCGCACUGGUCCAUUACUGACGCUGAGGCGCGAAAGCGUGGGGAGCGAACAGG
rnacentral:rRNA from 1 species